AGAGUUUGAUCCUGGCUCAGGACGAACGCUGGCGGCGUGCCUAAUACAUGCAAGUCGAACGCUUUUUUCUUUCACCGGAGCUUGCUCCACCGAAAGAAAAGGAGUGGCGAACGGGUGAGUAACACGUGGGUAACCUGCCCAUCAGAAGGGGAUAACACUUGGAAACAGGUGCUAAUACCGUAUAACAAUCGAAACCGCAUGGUUUCGGUUUGAAAGGCGCUUUUGCGUCACUGAUGGAUGGACCCGCGGUGCAUUAGCUAGUUGGUGAGGUAACGGCUCACCAAGGCAACGAUGCAUAGCCGACCUGAGAGGGUGAUCGGCCACAUUGGGACUGAGACACGGCCCAAACUCCUACGGGAGGCAGCAGUAGGGAAUCUUCGGCAAUGGACGAAAGUCUGACCGAGCAACGCCGCGUGAGUGAAGAAGGUUUUCGGAUCGUAAAACUCUGUUGUUAGAGAAGAACAAGGAUGAGAGUAAAAUGUUCAUCCCUUGACGGUAUCUAACCAGAAAGCCACGGCUAACUACGUGCCAGCAGCCGCGGUAAUACGUAGGUGGCAAGCGUUGUCCGGAUUUAUUGGGCGUAAAGCGAGCGCAGGCGGUUUCUUAAGUCUGAUGUGAAAGCCCCCGGCUCAACCGGGGAGGGUCAUUGGAAACUGGGAAACUUGAGUGCAGAAGAGGAGAGUGGAAUUCCAUGUGUAGCGGUGAAAUGCGUAGAUAUAUGGAGGAACACCAGUGGCGAAGGCGGCUCUCUGGUCUGCAACUGACGCUGAGGCUCGAAAGCGUGGGGAGCAAACAGGAUUAGAUACCCUGGUAGUCCACGCCGUAAACGAUGAGUG
rnacentral:rRNA from 1 species